rnacentral:rRNA from 1 species
GACGAACGCUGGCGGCGUGCUUAACACAUGCAAGUCGAACGGGAUCCGGGCUUUCGGGUUUGGUGAGAGUGGCGAACGGGUGAGUAACACGUGAGUAACCUGCCCCCUUCUUUGGGAUAACGUCGGGAAAUCGGCGCUAAUACUGGAUAUUCUUGCUGCAUCGCAUGGUGUGGUUUGGAAAGGGUUUCUGGUGGGGGAUGGGCUCGCGGCCUAUCAGCUUGUUGGUGGGGUGAUGGCCUACCAAGGCUUUGACGGGUAGCCGGCCUGAGAGGGUGUCCGGCCACACUGGGACUGGGACACGGCCCAGACUCCUACGGGAGGCAGCAGUGGGGAAUAUUGCACAAUGGGCGCAAGCCUGAUGCAGCGACGCCGCGUGAGAGAUGACGGCCUUCGGGUUGUAAACCUCUUUCAGUAUGGAACAAGGAUCCUUCGUUUGGGGGGUUUGAGGGUACGUGCAGAAGAAGCGCCGGCUAACUACGUG